AAUGGGGGUCGCAUGAGCUUCCACGAAAUCCUCAAUAUUAUCGCUUCUCAGGUCGAAGUUGCCGUUCAAAACUUGGCAAAUUUGCGGGCGUGCCAUUGUUCACGUGGAAGAAUAAAUCCUAGAAGGUUUCUACUUCGUUAUCUGUAACAGCCUUAUCGAUGGAAACGCCUCCUCAAGGGUACAGAAAGAUUGUUCGAAUUUGUCUCGUCAAUGCCUCCAAAAAGAUCAUUGAGGAUGAACAUACCGGACACAUGGCAAAAGCAUCAGGGUGGUGCCGAUGAAUGGGAGGACCUUAGAUUUGCAGCAAUGAGAGAACUAAGGAAAGAAACAGGAGUUACUUCAGCUGAGUUUCUUGCAGAGGUUCCUGAUUAAGUUUACUGGGAAGGAAGGAGGAAGAGAUCAACCUAUUGGGAGAUGGAUAUUCAAGGAUUGGUCAUGGAUGUUACCAGAACGAGUGGUGGAGCUUGUGAGUAAACCUUACUGCAUAAACAUUAACUGGAAUUCUUUCUUUGAAUAUUCAUACCAAAGAGUUGUUCUGCACAGAAAUGAGACUUAUAACAAAGUGGAUAUUGGGUCUUCUUCAGCAUGAAGUAGCCUGAAAAUGUUAAUUAGAAAUAUCAAUGAAGCGUGUUUCUUGGCAUUAAAACCGUUACAAGUAUUAGAGGCAUGUACGGUUUUUGGAGUCUCGAAUGAAAUGAGGGAUCAUAUUGAAUUGAUCAAAAUCAUAUUAAAUUGAAAUUAUUUUAUUAUUUUUAUUUAA